AGUGAACGCUGGCGGUAGGCCUAACACAUGCAAGUCGAACGGCAGCACAGUAAGAGCUUGCUCUUACGGGUGGCGAGUGGCGGACGGGUGAGGAAUACAUCGGAAUCUACUUUUUCGUGGGGGAUAACGUAGGGAAACUUACGCUAAUACCGCAUACGACCUACGGGUGAAAGCAGGGGAUCUUCGGACCUUGCGCGAUUGAAUGAGCCGAUGUCGGAUUAGCUAGUUGGCGGGGUAAAGGCCCACCAAGGCGACGAUCCGUAGCUGGUCUGAGAGGAGGAUCAGCGACACUGGAACUGAGACACGGUCCAGACUCCUACGGGAGGGAGCAGUGGGGAAUAUGGGGCAAUGGGCGCAAGCCUGAUCCAGCCAUACCGCGUGGGUGAAGAAGGCCUUCGGGUUGUAAAGCCCUUUUGUUGGGAAAGAAAAGCAGCAGGUUAAUACCCCGCUGUUCUGACGGUACCCAAAGAAUAAGCACCGGCUAACUUCGUG
rnacentral:rRNA from 1 species